GCUCAAAUGCAUUUCACUUACAGUAUAUCUUGGACAGGAGCAAGAGCAAGUAAGUGAGUUGGCACAAAGAGCAGAUGCAGGACUAAGAGGAGUGUGCUGCCUAAUGUGGCUAAGGUCCUCAGAUGCUGCUUGGAAGGAUACAGUGGCAGAGAUAUUCAAGCAAGUGGUGACUUUGACUGAGGAAAAAGGGACAAUCACCCAUUAGAGACAUUGAAAAGCAAGUGCUCAACCAGUGAACU